AUUUAAGCCACAUUUAUGGAGCCUCUACUAUGUGCCAGACACUGUUUCUGGCGCUGAAGAUACAGCGAUAAACCAAGAGAAAGUCUGGUUUCACGACAGGAAGGUGACAGAUAAUAUGUAAAUGAACACAUCCAUACAGCCUGAGGCCCUGGAGAGGAUGAGGCCGGUGACAGGGGGACACCCCUCUCUCCUGAGCCCUGCUGGGGUCGGACCAUCCCAGAAGGAGGACAGGCCACGCAGGCCGGAAGAGCCUAUGUGAGUGUGUGAGGGGGGGUGGGCUGGGCGGAGGGGGCCGUGGAGGAAGA
rnacentral:lncRNA from 1 species